rnacentral:rRNA from 1 species
AUACGGAGGGUGCAAGCGUUACUCGGAAUCACUGGGCGUAAAGGACGCGUAGGCGGGUUGUCAAGUCAGAUGUGAAAUCCUACAGCUUAACUGUAGAACUGCAUUUGAAACUGGCAACCUAGAGUAUGGGAGGGGGAGAUGGAAUUAGUGGUGUAGGGGUAAAAUCCGUAGAUAUCACUAGGAAUACCGAAAGCGAAGGCGAUCUCCUGGAACAUAACUGACGCUAAGGCGUGAAAGCGUGGGGAGCAAACGGGAUUAGAAACCCCUGUAGUCC